rfam:Schistosoma mansoni strain Puerto Rico chromosome 6, complete genome
AUCCAGCCGAUGAGUCCGAAAUAGGACGAAACAUACGUCCUGGAU